AGGGUAUCCAAUGAUCCAGAACUUCACCAGAAGGUGGCUGGUGUAUUGGUUGAGUCAAAUGGUGUCAACAAUGACUUACAAGAGCUGUCUCCUGAUAGAAAAUAUCCAAAAGAUGAUUUUGCACCCUACUCAAAUCACAACCAUGAUUGGAAUCCUACUGGAUCAGGUAUCAUGUGGAACAAAUAUAAUUUUCCAGUAUUUCUACUUUCAGAAGAGAGUACAAACACUCUUCAAAAGGUU